GCGGGGGAGCGGCGGCCGCAGCGGCGACCGCGCAAGCAACAGCUUGCAGAGCCCAGCGCCGUGUGACACGGCUCCCUGACAUUAGUGGUGUGAGUCAGCUUGGAAACAAUCCUCGCGGUUUCAGACAGGACCACGGAGGAGGCACGGACACGGGCUGUCCUCCUAGCAAGGCCUGGGGAGGCUCCACACCCAGCUUGGGACCCCGAUGUGCGGCUUGAACUCACAACCCUGAGAUCAAAACCUCAGCUGAGAUCAAGAGCUUAACAGACUGAGCCACCCAGCGGUGGCUUCAUUAUCUUAUCUGAAGGGGUAAAGAUUUUCAAACAAAUGGACCUGCAAAAUGUAUCCAGAGGCAGCAACAAUCACAACAUGGCUAGCUAACACUUAACAGGCAUUUACUCUUUAUGUGUAUUCUUUCAGUUAUUCUCUCAAUAACCCUAUGAGGUGGUUGGAACCAUGCUUAUUUUAUGAUGAGAAGAUAGUUUUAUUUAUUUUUCUAAUUUAAAUUUUUGUUAACAUAGAGGGCAAUAUUGGUUUCUGGAGUAAAAUUCAGUGAUUCGUCACUUACACACAAUACCCAGUGCUCAUCACAAUGAGUGCCCUCCUUAAUGUCCAUCACUCAUCUAGCCCAUCCCCCACCCACCUCCCUUCAUCAACCCUGUUUGUUCUCUAUUGUUAAGAGUCUCUUGUGGUUUGUUUCCUUUCCCCUUUUUUCCCCCUUCCCAUAUGUUCAUCUGUUUUCUUUCUUAAAUUCCACAUCUGAGUGAGAUCAUAUGAUACUUGUCUUUCUGUGACUGGCUUAUUUCAUUUAGCAUAAUAUACUCUAGCUCUAUCCACAUCAUUGCAAAUGGCCAGAUUUCAUUUUCUGAUGGCUGAGUAAUAUUCCGUUGGAUAUAUAUACACACAUAUACCACAGAGAAGAUAGUUCUAGAGCAGCAAGUAACUUGCCCAGGAGAGCACAUCUGGGGUGUGGCCAAUAUGGGAGAGGGACCCAGAACACUGGUACCAGUACCAGCACCUGCCAAAGCCUGAUGGGACAUUAAGCAUGUGCAGAAGCCGAGAUUGGACAGUGUGCCCACUGUGCCUUCCCACCUUAUUUGCAUACAGUACUACUCAUGCUGCCUGGACAUCAGAUGACACCCAAAGCGAGUGUGAAGUAAACCUGUUUCAUCCACGGUUGAGUGGCCUAGAAAGAGGUGGGCACAGGCAGCCCUGAAAGGCCAUGCUUUCCUUUCAAACCAGAACUUUCUUGAACACAGAAAGAAAAGGCCAUGGCACUCGAAGAAGCAUGGCACCCUCUCUUACUCAUGUGACAUCACUGUGCUGACCAACAAAUAACAUACACUGAAAAUGACAUAAAAGAAAAGGGAAACAUGGGCAGCCCCCACUUCCUUUUCCUUUCAGUCUCUCCUUACUCAUGAGUAAACAGAAGGCAGAGUUUUGGCCGAAUGCGCGCACAUCAAGAACUGAAAUAUAGAGACACCUGGGUGGCUCAGUGGGUUAAAGCCUCUGCCUUCGGCUCCGGUCAUGGUCCCAGGGUCCUGGGAUCGAGCCCUGCAUCAGGCUCUCUGCUCAGCAGGGAGCCUGCUUCCUCCUCUCUCUCUGCCUGCCUCUCUGCCUACUUGUGAUCUCUCUCUCUCUCUCUCUGUGUGUCAAAUAAAUAAAUAAAAUCUUUUUAAAAAAA